rnacentral:tRNA from 1 species
GCCCCUGUAGCUCACCAGGACAGAGCAACGGUUUCCUAAACCGUGUGUAGCAGGUUCAAGUCCUGCCAGGGGUA